GUGGUCAUUUUGAUGUCCUUCUGGAACAGACAAGUGUGGCUUUCAGCCCACAACAAGGCACCAUGUUACUAAUUGGGCUGGUGGGGCUACGUGGGAUCGUCACUGUCACACUAGGAGGGGAUGGGGAGCACUCGGUGGGGGGCUCUGCCAGGGUCCUGGCACACAGGAUGAGCCCUGAGCAUCAAAACCUCACAUGUAGCAAAAACUCGUGGUCAAAGGAGUGCUUUUGGCUCCACAGAGGGGCAUUUUUCUCAAGUCAUUAUUUCUUCCCGUAGGAAAGAGAACGUGGGCAUUGCAUGUGACACCAUGUGAUGUGGAAGCAAGAGACAUCGAUGUUCCUUCAAACUCAUGGUCAGGCUUACCCCAGCCUGGGAGGGUGCCAGGGAAUGGUUUCCCUUGUGACUACCUGCUCAUGCUGCAGACAGGACAUUGCUCAGCCCCAUUUGGAUGUGCUUUUCAAGGAGCAUCGCUGACUCCUCUAUAUCCAUGUAUGCAGAGUUGCUUCCACCCAACUGCAGUCUAAGCCACGGACAGCUGUCCUGUUUGAGACCUAGCCCCUCGUAUCUAGCUCCUCUGACCUACUGGCAGGACUCCUUGGAAGGACUAAUUUUCAUCAAGGAGCAGGUCUUCAAGCUGAGUUUUUCCAACCCCCUUCAGCUUCUGUCCCUGCCUCUUGCCUUCCUCCUGUGAAGACAUCAGAUGCUGGAGCUGCUCCAAUCCCUCCCUGCAGGGUUGUCCCUGGAGGAGAUUUCCACCUAGACUUGUCCUUCAGCACUGGAACGCUCUACAAAGGGAGCUCAGCACAGAGCAGGAGGAGUAACCAAGCCAGCAUGUUUUGAGAAUUGUGAUUGUGAAAAUGCAGCUUUACCAGGGCUGAAGGGGAGCACGUACAGCUCCAGCCCCUCUGGCCAUGCCUGGGGCCAAGCUGGCUGCCAGCUCUUCUUGCAGCAUAGUCACCCAAGGGAGUUUUGCACCACAGUGCUGUGAAGGAUGCUGUGUCGUGUGUGAAGGAGAGGGAGAUGACAGCUGCUUGCUUCGGGGCCAGAAGCAAAGCUGAGGCUGGUACGAGUUCAGACCUGACCGCGAUGUGCCGUAUGUGUGAAGAGGGAGAGUCAGCAGAGACAUUGGUGCCCUCCAAGUUGGCAAGACCAUUGACAAGGGAGCAGUUGCUCACUGGGAGCUGAGAGCAUGAAACAAGAAGAAGCUGCAGGUGGAGCACAACAUGACACCACCUCUGGCAGCAUCAGCAGCACU
rnacentral:lncRNA from 1 species